rnacentral:rRNA from 1 species
GAUGAACGCUAGCGGGAGGCCUAACACAUGCAAGCCGGGCGGUAUUGUUUCUUCGGAAAUGAGAGAGCGGCGUACGGGUGCGGAACACGUGUGCAACCUGCCUUUAUCUGGGGGAUAGCCUUUCGAAAGGAAGAUUAAUACUCCAUAACAUAUUGAUUGGCAUCAAUUAAUAUUGAAAGCUCCGGCGGAUAGAGAUGGGCACGCGCAAGAUUAGCUAGUUGGUGAGGUAACGGCUCACCAAGGCGAUGAUCUUUAGGGGGCCUGAGAGGGUGAUCCGCCACACUGGUACUGUGACACGGACCAGACUCCUACGGGAGGCAGCAGUGAGGAAUAUUGGUCAAUGGGUGCAAGCCUGAACCAGCCAUCCCGCGUGAAGGACGACUGCCCUAUGGGUUGUAAACUUCUUUUGUAUAGGGAUAAACCUACCCUCGUGAGGGUAGCUGAAGGUACUAUACGAAUAAGCACCGGCUAACUCCGUGCCAGCAGCCGCGGUAACAC